rnacentral:rRNA from 1 species
AUGAACGCUAGCGACAGGCUUAACACAUGCAAGUCGAGGGGCAGCGGGGGUAGCGAUACCCGCCGGCGACCGGCGCACGGGUGAGUAACGCGUAUGCAACUUGCCUAUCAGAGGGGGAUAACCCGGCGAAAGUCGGACUAAUACCGCAUGAAGCAGGGGCCCCGCAUGGGGAUAUUUGCUAAAGAUUCAUCGCUGAUAGAUAGGCAUGCGUUCCAUUAGGCAGUUGGCGGGGUAACGGCCCACCAAACCGACGAUGGAUAGGGGUUCUGAGAGGAAGGUCCCCCACAUUGGUACUGAGACACGGACCAAACUCCUACGGGAGGCAGCAGUGAGGAAUAUUGGUCAAUGGCCGAGAGGCUGAACCAGCCAAGUCGCGUGAGGGAUGAAGGUUCUAUGGAUCGUAAACCUCUUUUAUAAGGGAAUAAAGUGCGGGACGUGUCCCGUUUUGUAUGUACCUUAUGAAUAAGGAUCGGCUAACUCCGUGCCAGCAGCCGCGGUAAUACGGAGGAUCCGAGCGUUAUCCGGAUUUAUUGGGUUUAAAGGGUGCGUAGGCGGCCUUUUAAGUCAGCGGUGAAAGUCUGUGGCUCAACCAUAGAAUUGCCGUUGAAACUGGGGGGCUUGAGUAUGUUUGAGGCAGGCGGAAUGCGUGGUGUAGCGGUGAAAUGCAUAGAUAUCACGCAGAACCCCGAUUGCGAAGGCAGCCUGCCAAGCCAUUACUGACGCUGAUGCACGAAAGCGUGGGGAUCAAACAGGAUUAGAUACCCUGGUAGUCCACGCAGUAAACGAUGAUCACUAGCUGUUUGCGAUACAGUGUAAGCGGCACAGCGAAAGCGUUAAGUGAUCCACCUGGGGAGUACGCCGGCAACGGUGAAACUCAAAGGAAUUGACGGGGGCCCGCACAAGCGGAGGAACAUGUGGUUUAAUUCGAUGAUACGCGAGGAACCUUACCCGGGUUUGAACGCAUUCGGACCGAGGUGGAAACACCUUUUCUAGCAAUAGCCGUUUGCGAGGUGCUGCAUGGUUGUCGUCAGCUCGUGCCGUGAGGUGUCGGCUUAAGUGCCAUAACGAGCGCAACCCUUGCCACUAGUUACUAACAGGUAAAGCUGAGGACUCUGGUGGGACUGCCAGCGUAAGCUGCGAGGAAGGCGGGGAUGACGUCAAAUCAGCACGGCCCUUACAUCCGGGGCGACACACGUGUUACAAUGGCGUGGACAAAGGGAAGCCACCUGGCGACAGGGAGCGAAUCCCCAAACCACGUCUCAGUUCGGAUCGGAGUCUGCAACCCGACUCCGUGAAGCUGGAUUCGCUAGUAAUCGCGCAUCAGCCAUGGCGCGGUGAAUACGUUCCCGGGCCUUGUACACACCGCCCGUCAAGCCAUGGGAGCCGGGGGUACCUGAAGUCCGUAACCGAAAGGAUCGGCCUAGGGUAAAACUGGUGACUGGGGCU